rnacentral:rRNA from 1 species
CGUGUAGGCGGGAUGAUCAGUCGGUGGUGAAAUCUCUCGGCUUAACCGAGAGCCUGCUACCGAUACUGUUGUCCUUGAGUGCGGAAGAGGGAAGUGGAAUUCCUGGUGUAGCGGUGAAAUGCGUAGAUAUCAGGAAGAACACCAGUAGCGAAGGCGGCUUCCUGGUCCGUAACUGACGCUGAGACGCGAAAGCGUGGGGAGCAAACA